GAUACUAAUGAGCUGUCGUAGCACUGCCUCACUGUCAACUAGAUACUAAUGUAGCCAUCAUAGCACUGCCUCACUGUCAACUAGAUACUAAUGAGCUGUCAUAGUACUGAGCAGCUGCAUAACUCCGCCACUGUUAACAUUAGUACUGGUCAUUUACUCAGCCAAUGUAGUACCGACCAGCUGUCUAUCUGUACUCGAGUCAUUAGUACCGACCAGCUGUCUAUCUGUACCGACCAGCUGUCUAUCUGUACUCAAGUCACUGUAGUACCGACCAGCUGUCUAUCUGUACUCAAGUCACUGUAGUACCGACCAGCUGUCUAUCUGUACUCAAGUCACUGUAGUACCGACCAGCUGUCUAUCGGUACUCAAGUCACUGUAUUAUUGACCAGCUGUCUAUCUGUACUCAAGUCACUGUAUUAUUGACCAGCUGUCUAUCUGUACUCAAGUCACUGUAGUACCGACCAGCUGUCUAUCUGUACUCAAGUCACUGUAUUAUUGACCAGCUGUCUAUCUGUACUCAAGUCACUGUAGUACCGACCAGCUGUCUAUCUGUACUCAAGUCACUGUAGUACCGACCAGCUGUCUAUCUGUACUCAAGUCACUGUAGUACCGACCAGCUGUCUAUCUGUACUCAAGUCACUGUAUUAUUGACCAGCUGUCUAUCUGUACUCAAGUCACUGUAGUACCGACCAGCUGUCUAUCUGUACUCAAGUCACUGUAGUACCGACCAGCUGUCUAUCUGUACUCAAGUCACUGUAGUACCGACCAUCUGUCUAUCUGUACUCAAGUCACUGUAGUACCGACCAUCUGUCUAUCUGUACUCAAGUCACUGUAGUACUGACCAUGUCUAUCUGUACUCAAGUCACUAGUACCGACCAGCUGUCUAUCUGUACUCAAGUCACUGUAGUACCGACCAUCUGUCUAUCUGUACUCAAGUCACUGUAGUACCGACCAGCUCUCUAUCUGUACUCAAGUCACUGUAGUACCGACCAGCUGUCUAUCUGUACUCAAGUCACUGUAUUAUUGACCAACUCUUCUAUCUGUACUCAAGUCACUAGUACUGACCAGCUGUCUAUCUGUACUCAAGUCACUGUAUUAUUGACCAACUGUCUAUCUGUACUCAAGUCACUGUAGUACCGACCAGCUGUCUAUCUGUACUCAAGUCACUGUAGUAUUGACCAGCUGUCUAUCUGUACUCAAGUCACUGUAGUACCGACCAGCUGUCUAUCUGUACUCAAGUCACUAGUACUGACCAGCUGUCUAUCUGUACUCAAGUCAAGUAUUAUUGACCAGAUGUAAACUGCCAUCAUCAUACUGACUGGCUGCAAGUACACUGUAGUACUGACCAGCUGUCUAUCUGUACUCAAGUCACUGUAGUACCGACCAGCUGUCUAUCUGUACUCAAGUCACUGUAUUAUUGACCAGCUGUCUAUCUGUACUCAAGUCACUGUAGUACCGACCAGCUGUCUAUCUGUACUCAAGUCACUGUAUUAUUGACCAGAUGUAAACUGCCAUCAUCAUACUGACUGGCUGCAAGUACACUGUAGUACCGACCAGCUGUCUAUCUGUACUCAAGUCACUGUAGUACUGAUCAACUCUUUAUCUGUACUCAAGUACACUGUAAUACUGACCAGCUGUCUAUCUGUACUCAAGUACACAGUAGUACUGACCAGCUGUCUAUCUGUACUCAAGUACACUGUAGUACUGACCAGCUGUCUAUCUGUACUCAAGUACACUGUAGUACUGACCAGCUGUCUAUCUGUACUCAAGUACACUGUAGUACUGACCAGCUGUCUAUCUGUACUCAAGUACACUGUAGUACUGACCAGCUGUCUAUCUGUACUCAAGUACACUGUAGUACUGAUCAACUUUUUAUCUGUACUCAAGUCACUGUACUGUCGAUCAGCCAACUGUUUGUACUCUAUCAAUUAAAUACUGAUCGGCUCUCAGUGUGUACUCAGACUCUGUAAUACUGACCAGCUGUCAGUCAAUACUCAGCUACUCUAUUACUGACUGGCUGGCAGUCACUACUCUGCCAACAUUGUACUGACUGGCUGGAAAUUAUUCUGUUGUGUUUUCCUCUAAGGUGUGUAUUUUUUAGCAAAAAUUCUUCCUUAGUAUAAAAUAUAUAGUGAUAUCCUU